rnacentral:rRNA from 1 species
UACGGAGGAUGCGAGCGUUAUCCGGAUUUAUUGGGUUUAAGGGGCGCGUAGGCGGAUCGUUAAGUCAGUGGUCAAAUUGAGGGGCUCAACCCCUUCCCGCCAUUGAAACUGGCGAUCUUGAGUGGAAGAGAAGUAUGCGGAAUGCGUGGUGUAGCGGUGAAAUGCAUAGAUAUCACGCAGAACCCCGAUUGCGAAGGCAGCAUGCCGGCUUCCUACUGACGCUGAAGCACGAAAGCGUGGGGAUCGAACAGG